rnacentral:lncRNA from 1 species
AUGUCCAGUAUUAAUAUAACGUUCCUGGGUUCGGUUCGGUCCAUACAUCCUGGAUUGAAACGCGGCUCGGGUUACACUCCCGUCCUGAAGAACAGAAACGAUCAUUCUUCCUCACACUGUUCCUUAUCUUCAGUCAAGAAAACCGUGUUGUGUCCUCAUGAGCACUCCCCCAGCCCCAGGGAUAUAUUACAAGAGUUUAGUGGUUUAGCUCAGGUCAGGAACAGCAUAGUGAGGUAUAUGUGGACAGGGGAGACAGGACGAGAGAGAAGAGAAGAGAGAGAACAGGAUAGGACAGGAGAGAGGACAGGGAGAGGACAGGGAGAGGAGAGGACAAGGAGAGGACAGGAGAGAGGACAGAGGAGAGGGAGAGGACAGGGAGAGGAGAGAGGACAGGGAGAGGAGAGAGGACAGGGAGAGGAGAGAGGACAGAGGACAGGGAGAGAGGACAGAGGACAGGGAGAGAGGACAGAGGACAGGGAGAGGAGAGAGGACAGGGAGAGGACAGGGAGAGGACAGGGAGAGGAGAGAGGACAGGGAGAGGAGAGAGGACAGGGAGAGGAGAGAGGACAGGGAGAGGAGAGAGGACAGGGAGAGGAGAGAGGACAGGGAGAGGAGAGAGGACAGGGAGAGGAGAGAGGACAGGGAGAGGAGAGAGGACAGGGAGAGGAGAGAGGACAGGGAGAGGAGAGAGGACAGGGAGAGGAGAGAGGACAGGGAGAGGAGAGAGGACAGGGAGAGGAGAGAGGACAGGGAGAGGGAGAGGACAGGGAGAGGACAGGGAGAGGAGAGAGGACAGGGAGAGGACAGGGAGAGGAGAGAGGACAGGGAGAAGAGAGAGGACAGGGAGAGAGAGAGGACAGGGAGAGGACAGGGAGAGGAGAGAGGAGAGAGGACAGGGAGAGGAGAGAGGACAGGGAGAGGAGAGAGGACAGGGAGAGGAGAGAGGACAGGGAGAGGGAGAGGACAGGGAGAGGAGAGAGGACAGGGAGAGGAGAGAGGACAGGGAGAGGAGAGAGGACAGGGAGAGGGAGAGGACAGGGAGAGGAGAGAGGAGAGAGGACAGGGAGAGGAGAGAGGAGAGAGGACAGGGAGAGGAGAGAGGACAGGGAGAGAGGACAGUGA